rnacentral:lncRNA from 1 species
AAGUCAGGGAACAGCCUCCACAGGACAAGCAUAUCAGACGCGGGGAGAGCAGUGUGCAGAACGCCAUCCCUGCCCUGUAAUUUUGAAGCAGUGCUAACCAACAUGAGUGCCACACACCAGCAUGCACACGAGUGGGCUACGGGCAUGCAGAUAUUCUGGCCCUGAGGUCAGUAUAUUCCGAUCUCUUGAACUCCUAGAGGGGAAGACAGUGUCCAGGGCACCUGAAGCCAUCGGGUGGUCACCUCUGGCUGUAAGCUGCUUUGGCCACUUCUUGCAGAGCCGGAUAGGCACAGGCACUGUCUAUCUAUGAGGGAGACAGAACACUGCUCAGAGAAGCCCUGGCCGUGAGAAGCUGCUUUUCUAGCUCUUCACUUCAGUCCUCUCUGCAUCUCUCUCCUGCUCUGGAGCCAGCACCUCGGAGGCCUCUGAUAGACAGCUAACACAAGCACCUGAUACCAUAACGUACUGCGGCCUCAAAGACAGCCCAGCCCACAGGAUCAGGGGAGCCCUCCUGGUGCAGGUGACCCUUGCGCUGAGUUCUGAGGGACUAGAAAAAACUGGCCAACCCCAGGAGAAGCGACGACGGACAGGACAAGAGCAGUGAUGAGUGGAGUGAGGGUGUCUGUUUCUUUAAGAAGCCCGUUAUGCAUUGCUGCUGGAGCAGAUUACGAUUCUAUCAGCACCCUAGAGAAGAACUUAGAGAUGGAGAUUGUCAGCAAUGACUACCAGCCUUAGAAACCAUCUGGAAAAAUAAAAUUGUUAAUGGAACUAGGCUGAGAUGUUUUUACUACUGGCUCUGAUGUAAAAAAUCUUAGGGAACAAUAUGAAAUUGAGAAAGGCACACUUUUAUUAAUUAAGCUAGGGGCCCUUUAAGGUCAGGGAACAAGAACGACGGCAGCACUGGCCGGCGUGACUCUCACUGAGGCUGGACUGGUGAUGACUGAUUUCUUAUACUCACUUUUCCCUCAGCUUCCUGAUAUGAUUUAUUAAGAAUUGCUGAUGAGUAGGCAUACAUUUUGAGGAUUUAAGGUAGAUAUGACUGAUAUUUAUAUAAAAAUUUAGAUCUGUGAUUCUUUUAAGAUUCUUACAAGAUUACUUCUAAAGAUAAAUAAUAAUUACUUCUUUCUUUGUAACUGCAAAUUGCUGCCUGCCAGUAAGAGAAACGGGCUGAGAAAACUACCUUGCUUGCUUACACUUUGUUAAUCUAUAACAAGUUGCUUGGUUACGAAUAUAUGUGGGUUUUUUAGAAUAAUUUGUUUUUUUUACCUGUAUUAUGUAAUGUUAUUUCUUGUAAAGGUAUUGGAAAACAUAUUUUUUAAUAAUCAUUCAUUAGAAAAAAACUAAAAUGUAAUCAUAUUAUAAUUAUAUACUGCUUGAAAGAUUUUUCUGGGAUAUGUAAGGUAUGGAAGAAAGAAUAAAGUAUGGGGGCUGGUGAGAUGGCUCAGCGGGUAAGAGCACUGACUGUUCUUCCAAAGGUCCUGAGUUCAAAUCCCAGCCACCACAUGGUGGCUCAUAACCACCUAUAAUGAAAUCUGACGCCCUCUUCUGGUGCAUCUGAAGACAGCUACAGUGUACUUAUUUACAA